rnacentral:lncRNA from 1 species
AAUGUUACCGAUGCAGACCUAAACCGUCGGUGUUGGUCAUGCCCAUCGCCUUCGGGCAGGUGUUGUUUGAGUGCGGAAGCAGACCCAAACCGCCAGUGUUGGUCAUGCCCAUCACCUUCUGGUAGAUGUUGCUUGAGCGUGGACACCAGUGUUACUGAGGCAGACCCAAAUCGUCGGUGUUGGUCAUGUCCAUCUCCUUCGGGUAGGUGUUGCUUGAGUGCAGAGGCGGACCCAAAUCGCCAAUGUUGGUCGUGCCCAUCGCCUUCGGGUAGGUGCUGCUUGAGUGUGGAUACAAGUGUUACCAAUGUAGACCCAAACCGUCGAUGUUGGUCAUGCCCAUCACCUUCAGGCAGGUGUUGCUUGAGUGCAGAAGCAGACCCAAACCGCCAGUGUUGGUCAUGCCCGUCACCUUCAGGUAGGUGUUGCUUGAAUGCAGACAUCAGUGUUAUAGAGGCAGCAGACCCAAACCGCCGGUGUUGGUCAUGCCCAUCAC